AAAAUUUUUUGUUUGAAAAAUAUAUAUGUAUAUUGGGUGGACUUAGGUGGAAAAAAAAUAAGUUUUCUUUUAAUCGUUCUUUUCUUUAGUCGUUUCUUUUCAACGAGUUCUAAGAUGAAAGAUAACAGCAGUGAACGAAAAUGAAACUUCGAAGCGAUAUUAUGUUAUGUUAUGUGAGAUUUUCUAACCAGCCUCGGCGAAAUCCGCUCAACAGUUGAACAAUUUAAUGGCGCCACGAAAAACGACAGAUAUCAAUCUAAAUGCAGAUGAACCAGAUUAUUUAUAGACAAUUCUUGCACGUUAAAUUCCAAAUCAUCGGCUGUACGGCACACAGCAUUUUCUAUCUUUUAACCAACAAUAUUAUUCUCUUUAUCGACGAUUUAAAAUCAUGUCGCUAAAGGAAAAUUCGUAGGUUGCUCUUUAAAAAAGCAAAAAUUGGGAUAUGAAUUAUACAUACAUAUAUAUAUAUAUACGUGGUACUCGAUAAGACGUUCGAAGAUCCCGCAUUUAAACCGGAUCGUUGCCGCUGAACGAUACAGUAUAACGUUCUACUUUUAGUUAUCAUCGCAUUGGUGGAGUAAAAGGUUAUCGUGUUAAGGAUACGUGUUGACGUGGCUCGCUUUAAAAGCGACCUGCCUUCGUUGAAAUCCUGAAAUGGGCGAGGCCGACCAGAUAUCCGGGCAGGAAGUUUGCGGAAAGUGCAGAGACAUUCCGCUGAUAAUAGCCUCGCGAUGACAGAGGAGAACGUUAACGAUUAUUAUCAUAACGCGACAGCUUGAAAGAUUGUUGAUCUUAAUAAGUAUCCGAAUGCUCGGUAUAUUUUACGAAAAAUAUCAUUUCGUUUUACAACGUUAUUCGAAUGAUAAUUUAACAUAAUCAUUAGUCUAUCUUGAAAUAUCUAAUUUUAUAUUUAUUUUACACUAAUUUAUUUGUUGACUGGAAAAAAUUUAAAUCAAAAUAAAACUCAUAAAAUGAGCUUGAAAUUGAAAAUCAUUACGUGCACAAUGAAGGAUUAAAAAGUAAAUAUUUAAAGAAAAUAAUUUUGUAAUCGAUUUUACGAAACACAAAACCGUGUUGCAAUAAUAAAAUAAGAAAAAAAAAGAUUAAAGAAAAAGAAACAAA